UGGCGUGUAGCUCAGAGCAGAGCGCUUGAUUGCAGAUCAAGAGGUCCCCAUUUCAAAUCUCGGUGUCCCCU
rnacentral:tRNA from 1 species